GACGAACGCUGGCGGCGUGCUUAACACAUGCAAGUCGAACGGAAAGGCCUGCUUUCCCUUGUGGAUUGCGGGUACUCGAGUGGCGAACGGGUGAGUAACACGUGAGUGAUCUGCCCCCAACUUGGGUAUAAGCCUGGGAAACUGGGUCUAAUUCCCGAUAGGACUGCAGGGUGGUGCCUGUGGUGGAAAACGAUUUUCUAGUGGUUGGGGAUGAGCUCGCGGCCUAUCAGCUUGUUGGUGGGGUAAUGGCCUACCAAGGCGGCGACGGGUAGCCGGCCUGGGAGGGGGGACGGCCACAUUGGGACUGGGAUACGGCCCAGACUCCUACGGGAGGCAGCAGUGGGGAAUAUUGCACAAUGGGCGGAAGCCUGAUGCAGCGACGCCGCGUGGGGGAUGACGGCCUUCGGGUUGUAAACUCCUUUCGACCGCGAGGAAGCCACCUGGUUGGAAGGGUGGUGACGGUAGUGGUAGAAGAAGCACCGGCUAACUACGUG
rnacentral:rRNA from 1 species